UGGGGAAUAUUGGACAAUGGGCGAAAGCCUGAUCCAGCCAUGCCGCGUGUGUGAAGAAGGCCUUUUGGUUGUAAAGCACUUUAAGCGAGGAGGAGGCUACUUGGGUUAAUACUCUAGGAUAGUGGACGUUACUCGCAGAAUAAGCACCGGCUAACUCUGUGCCAGCAGCCGCGGUAAUACAGAGGGUGCGAGCGUUAAUCGGAUUUACUGGGCGUAAAGCGUGCGUAGGCGGCUUUUUAAGUCGGAUGUGAAAUCCCUGAGCUUAACUUAGGAAUUGCAUUCGAUACUGGGAAGCUAGAGUAUGGGAGAGGAUGGUAGAAUUCCAGGUGUAGCGGUGAAAUGCGUAGAGAUCUGGAGGAAUACCGAUGGCGAAGGCAGCCAUCUGGCCUAAUACUGACGCUGAGGUACGAAAGCAUGGGGAGCAAACAGGAUUAGAUACCCUGGUAGUCCAUGCCGUAAACGAUGUCUACUAGCCGUUGGGGCCUUUGAGGCUUUAGUGGCGCAGCU
rnacentral:rRNA from 1 species